UACGAAGGGUGCAAACGUUGCUCGGACUCAUUGGGCGUAAAGCGCACGUAGGCGGCUUCGCAAGUCGGAUGUGAAAUCCCUCGACUCAACCAAGGACGUGCAUCCGAAACUGCGGAGCUUGAGUACAGAAGAGGAUCGCGGAAUUCCCGGUGUAGAGGUGAAAUUCGUAGAUAUCGGGAGGAACACCAGUGGCGAAGGCGGCGAUCUGGGCUGAUACUGACGCUGAGGUGCUAAAGCGUGGGGAGCAAACAGG
rnacentral:rRNA from 1 species